UCUCUGUCCUUAAUGUAUUCUACUAUGAAACUUAAAAACAACACUACUAGUCGAACAAUACCCUAUACCUUGUGCGGUUGUGUGAGUGCAACCUGUUGAAAUCCUUGCUUAGUAUAUACUAAGUUGAUCUUCAGUAUAUGAAGGUAGAUGCAAACCAGUAUCACCGGCAGGCAUAUAUACUAGCAUUCAUGGUAAUAACAUUCAUGAAUGCUGUGGGUUGGAAACAAUGCCAGUGUUACCAAGAAUAGAACAGUGCCUUGAACUAGGUGGAGAUAAUACCAAAUGUCUACAGAUGAGAAAACAGAAGAUCAGAUUGCUUAGUAAGCUUAUGAUGUCUUAGCUCCAACGCUGGGAAAUGAAGGUGUAAACGUUCUCCAAACAAAACUAUUUUCUCCUUGAGCCAGCAAAGAAAACUAACAACCAAAUAAAAAUGAAGGUAAAAGUCGCUCAGUUAUCCUUUUCUAGUCUAAAUUAUCAGCCUCAUUUCUGAUCUGUAGUUGGUACUUCCUAUAGCAAUCUCUGCCAGUGGUUUAUGUGUGUUGUCCCUAAGCAGUGGAUGUUACCUCAUUUUAAGAUAAGGGGAGAGUGAAGAUUAACUAAUGCAUUCAUCAGCUUUUCAUUACAGAAUAACAAGUACCUUAAAGGAGGUUCUUAGGUAGACAGGAAUUCGUUUCAGUUUACGCCUUUGGAGGUUCACAGUCCAGGA